GAACCCUAAAAGAAAAUUACCCUGAGAUUAAGGGAAACGGCCUUGUUUUACGCACACCACGGGUCAAGAAGGAGUCAGACGACCGACAAUAGGAUCGCUUCAUCCCGGUCAAUUACCUCCGAGAGCUCGGGAUGCUUCAACUCCCUCUGUCGGAUACCAUAAGCGUAUAAGAAAAAACCCCCGGAGAAUUUACAACUUUUUAAAAGAGAGAGAGAGAGCGAGAGAGAGAGAGAGAGAGCAAAUCGAUCAAACUUUUCUACAGCACGUUAUACCACUCCGGGUCGAGAGGAGCGAUAUAGCAUGGACCGGUUGAAUGACUAUGUCGGAUCGAAGCAUGACCGAAAGCGUGGCAGGGAUUUUCCCUUUGAACUUCUUCCUGUUCCAUGAUUAACCUCCAACUGUUAAAUGUUUCCUCAAUAUUGCUCUAUUUAUUCUGCACAGAGCGUUUCCGGUGUGGCUCAUGCAAAAGAGAAUUGCAACAACACAGCAUGUUUCUCUUCUCCCUUUCACACAGUAAGUAUGUCUGUUGUAGACUGCGCUUUAUAAAUGUCUCUUUGAUUAUUCAAUCAGUCUUUGAAAACUUUAUCGUCAUCACCAGCAUGCUUUGUACCUCAGGCUCAUCAGAGACAAUCGUAUCCAGGUAAAAUAAUUUUCUUUAAUCUACACACUUUUAGGAAUUAAUUAGCUAAUUUCAUGGAUAAUUUCAGUGACUGAAUUAUUGCCGGUCAUUCGUACAUUUACUUUAUUAUAUAAAAUAUAUAAAUUAAAUCUCUUUGAAACUUUUAGAAUCUAAUCUGUUGGUUUCUUUUUUUCAUAGCAUUUUAUCAAAGUGUUGUCUGCUACAAAGUUAAAAGUAUUGUACUAGUAGUAAUAUAGCAUCCACCAUCUCCUGCUUGCAUAUUUCUGAAAACAUGUUAGUGGUGUGGCAGCCAUGGAUUGAGCUAGCCCUGCAAACCCUGUGGAUGGACGAUGCAGUGGACAGUGGGAGGAAGCAUCCUGAAGCUCUCUUUGCAGACCACUGUGUGUGAUUCUCCACUCGCCGACCAGAAAAGACAAACGGCAGGUCUCAGUUGCAGCACCUCAUCCAUCCAUGUCUGAUCCUGCAUCAGCAGAUUCAGCAACACAGCCAGAGACUUCCUGUAAUCUAUUACA